AAGAGACUUAGGAUAACAAGACCAAGGGCCUUCAAAGCCCUAAGCGGGAGUGAAAACCUUCCAGUCCCUA
rnacentral:tRNA from 1 species